CAACGCCGGGCAGCUCACCGGAUAAGACAGCUGGAUGAUAGCCGGGCUGAAGACUCUGCUUGACUAGCUGAGAGGAGGUGCAUGGCCGUCGUCAGUUCGUACUGUGAAGCAUCCUGUUAAGUCAGGCAACGAGCGAGACCCACGCCAACAGUUGCCAGCAUGUCCUCCGGGAUGAUGGGGACACUGUUGGGACCGCCUCUGCUAAAGAGGAGGAAGGAAUGGGCACGGUAGGUCAGCAUGCCCCGAAUUAUCCGGGCUACACGCGGGCUACAAUGGUCAGGACAAUGGGUAUCGACACCGAGAGGUGGAGGCAAUCUCCUAAACCUGUCCUUAGUUCAGAUUGUGGGCUGCAACUCGCCCACAUGAAGCUGGAAUCCGUAGUAAUCGCGUUUCAAAAUAGCGCGGUGAAUAUGUCCCUGCUCCUU
rnacentral:rRNA from 1 species